rnacentral:rRNA from 1 species
AACGCCCGGUAGCUGUGUUCCAAGUGGAUAAGUGCUGAAAGCAUAUAAGUACGAAGCCCACCACAAGAUGAGAUCUCUCAUAGCAUAAGCUAGUAAGUCCCGUUGCAGAUUACGACGUUGAUAGGUCCGAGAUGUAAGAAUGGCAACAUUUUCAGUCGACGGAUACUAAUAGGACGAGGGCUUUUCCUA